AUUGACCGCUGGCGGCAGGCUUAACACAUGCAAGUCGAGCGAGUGGCGGACGGGUGCAUAAUGUCUGGGAAACUGCCUGCUGGAGGGGGAUAACUACUGGAAACGGUAGCUAAUACCGCAUACCAUCAGAUGUGCCCAGAUGGGAUUAGCUCGUAGGUGGGGUAACGGCUCACCUAGGCGACGAUCCCUAGCUGGUCUGCGAGGAUGACCAGCCAAACUGGAACUGAGACACGUUCCAGACUCCUACGGGAGGCAGCAGUGGGGAAUAGUGCACAAUGGGCGCAAGCCUGAUGCAGCCAUGCCGCGUGUGUGAAGAAGGCCUUCGGGUUGUAAAGCACUUUCAGCGGGGAGGCGUUGCUCGCAGAAGAAGCGCCGGCUAACGCAGUGCCAGCAGCCGCGGUAAUAC
rnacentral:rRNA from 1 species